rnacentral:tRNA from 1 species
AGAAACUUAAGUUAUAUCAAACUAGAGGCCUUCAAAGCCCCCAAAAAAGACCAUUUAGUUUCUG